ACUGUUACCUGGCAGGGAGAUACCAUGACCUUGAAGACGGUUCUCCCAUGAUGAGACAUGUCCUCUGCACUCUUUAUGAGUUCACUUCCCCAAAUGCAGGAAAUUCAACUGAAUGAUUUGUGCUGGGGGCUGCAUUUGUGCUCCUCUUC
ensembl:snRNA LOC120098400 U1 spliceosomal RNA